rnacentral:misc_RNA from 1 species
AACAAAACCAGCAGAAAAGUUUGCCCCAAGGACACUGGCUACCGUGGCUUCAUCAGCCACAAGAUCAUGAAUUCCUUUCCUGAUCUGAAGAGAAUGUACAAAAGAAAGCAUCACUAAGUUCAAUGUUUGUGUUGAUCCAAAAACCAUUGAAAAUCAAGGUCUAUUUUUUGAGACAAAUAAUGCAAACUCACAGGCUCAAGGGUUGACCAGCAUAUUGCAGAGAAGGGAACAUCACGAGAAAGUUGUGCUCCAAGGCCAGUCCACAAUAUGCGAUAACUUUGCCUUUUUUGAAGGUUGUUUGAGCUCGAAACUGGGUUGAUCACCUCAAUUAGUGUCUUCCACACUCCCGGAGGCUUUGCACCAUUUUGGGCUUCUUUAAAUGCCUGCAUACGAGUCCUUGCCAACUCCACAGGGUAACAAGUAACGCAAGCUAAUGAGCGGGCUACCGACCCUGCAACUAAUGGUACAUAUGGUGUCAAGUCUGGAGCAUUCUGAUUUGUAAAAUCUUCCAUUAAAUUCCGGAAAAUGUCAUAACAAGGCAAGUAGAUUCCCACAGUUGGCACAGCCAAAGCUAAGCUUGCAUUUGUGCCUCUCCACAGUCUUCCAAAUCCUUCCUGGCGAAUGACUUUACUGAAGACAUCCAGCGUUCCCUUAUACCUGUUACAUUCUGAAGUGCACAUUGUUUCAGAACCAGGUAGUGCAUGUUUUAGACCCGGAAGCUCCGCAUUUGCGUCCAAACAUUCAGUUCCACAUAAUCCCUGAUUAGGAACCCCAGCAGCCUGUGCUUGCAGCCUUGUCUUGGCGACAUCAAGAGGGUUAACGAUGAUGGCGGAGACAACGGCGGCACCAGCUGCAGAGAUGGCCCUCUCCAUAAAACCUAAAUUGGCAUCUAACGACACCGCUUUGGAAUCAUCCUUUUUAACAGCUUUAGAAGAAAACAUUGUCUCUGAAACAGAGGAAACAUUCCCAUUAAUAUCGACUCUGGACGCCUCUGCUGCGCUAAUCCACUAAGGUAGACUCUGCGUCGACCCUCCCACCAUUUAGGAUUUUCCUUAUUUAGAAUUGUCUUAUUUUAUUUAAAAACCCUCCGAUCAAUCAUAAGGGACUUUGGGUUCACAAAAUCAUCCCAUAUUUGAAUUUUGCGAUGGAGGAGGCCAAGUUUGACACUGCUAUUUACCCUUUUUUCGCCUCAAUUAUGGAAAUUGAGUUUGGGUGAAGGGGUUGCGAUCGGUUUGAAUUGAAUGAAAAUGGAGAAUAUCAAAAUAGGUGUUGGGGUGGUUUAGGUUUAGUUGAUAUCUAGAGUUUUCUCAAUAUGCAUGGGAAAAAGGAGAAUAACAUACAGGCAGAGAAACAUAUGAUUCGAGGCGUGGAAAUAAGGGCGCCAAACAAUUGGAACUGCUCCGCCAUUCAGCCUGAAGUGUACGCCUCUCCUAUACCCUCACGUGAUAGUGACACAGACAAAGAGGGCCACAAUGUUGGACUGCGGAGUCUGGAGCAAAAACUCUCAUUCUUACGGUUCAUAUCUAGAUUGGGCCUCUCAGCGCGGUAAUUCCCUAGCCCAACAUGUGGGUUGCCAGCAAACUUUUGCUGGUUUAGAACUGCUAAAAAGAUGUCUGUUUUGGAUACUUCACUGCAAUAGUAUCAUUUGAAUCGCUGAUUAAUGUAGAUUUCUUUACAUAAAGUACGUAAAACUCAUAUCAAUUAACCAACGGUAUAGAUUAAACAGUCUGGUUUUGCUAAAAAAUUCGAGUCGGGAGUGGAACACGGGAUGGAGAAUAAAGUGCCAAAGAGCUAUCUUGGAGUAGGAGUAAAGUGACAUGGAAAAAUCAUCCCAACCCUCGUUCUUUCUAUACAAUUAGAAAAACAAUAAUCAACCCACGAGAAUUAAAACUGUGUACAACAAUAAAACGAUGAGAAUUGAUGGAGUUGGAGUAAGAAUUCAUCAUUCAUCUUCAUCCCCUUCCAUAGAAAACAUCCAGAUGUCUAUCCGUGAGGGAAGGUACGGUUUGUUUAAUUGGUGCGGCAGCUGAUUCCACAAAUGAACUGCAAUACUGUUGUUUUCUCGCAUGACAAAGCCUCACUGUCGAUGAAAUGCUUGCUGAAACCACAACCAAUUUCGCUGCCACCCCAAUUGCCUUCUGCCAGUUACAGGGACCAAAUAGAAUUCCGAUGCAAAAACUGACGAACCUACUUCUUGUCCCCUUUUCCUUGUUAUUGUGGAUAUUAGAAUCCGCUUUGUUCUUGAUUUCCCCAUUCCAGUUCAAAUCAAAAUCAGUGAUCUUUCCAUUGUUAAACCAAGCAUUCAGCUCUUUCACUACAUCAAGAGAUCUUCCUGGAAAUUGUUUCACUUUUUCGAUUAGGAUUAUUCUGCUCUCUUCUAAGCGAUUAAGGGCUGCUUGCGUAUCUAUUAUCUGCCAAGAUCUUAAUCUCUGUAAAAGCAUAAGCACGUCCCCAACUUCCCUUAAUGAAUCUCUAAUGGCAAUCAAUCUCUCCCUCUCCUGAACUGAUGUCUCUGCAAUGUGACAGAGACGACCAUUCUCUGAACACAGCCUGCAGAAGCUGUAACAGUCUCUGAUUUCAUCAGACAGGCCAUCUUGCAGAGCCCCUGCUCUCUCUAUGAGAGCCUGAAGGCUCCCCUUCAACUCCAUCAAAAAUUAUAAGCACCCCACCAAUCGAAACUUUAUCUCUAUGAUCUUUUCAGGCUUUGUCAGGUCUUCCCAUUUGUUGCUGAGACCAUUUGUAGGCCUUUUCUUAUUUUAUGGUUUGCAUUUGGUAGUUCAUCAGAACAAAUCAUUUUGUCUUUCCUUA